rnacentral:rRNA from 1 species
UACAGAGGGUGCGAGCGUUGUUCGGAAUUAUUGGGCGUAAAGGGCGCGUAGGCGGCCUUCUAAGUCGAACGUGAAAUCCCCGGGCUCAACCCGGGAACUGCGUCCGAUACUGGAAGGCUUGAAUCCGGGAGAGGGAUGCGGAAUUCCAGGUGUAGCGGUGAAAUGCGUAGAUAUCUGGAGGAACACCGGUGGCGAAGGCGGCAUCCUGGACCGGCAUUGACGCUGAGGCGCGAAAGCCAGGGGAGCAAACGGG